CAAGUCUGGUGCCAGCAGCCGCGGUAAUUCCAGCUCCAAUAGCGUAUAUUAAAGUUGUUGCAGUUAAAAAGCUCGUAGUUGAAUUUCGGGRUCAGCAGGUUGGUCGUGCCUCUGGUAUGAACUGGCCUCGUUGAUUUCUCCUUUUUGAAGAACCRUGAUKUCAUUAAUUUGGUGUYGCGGGGAAACAGGACUGUUACUUUGAAAAAAUUAGAGUGUUUAAAGCAGGCUWAAGCYUGAAUACAUUAGCAUGGAAUAAURAAAUAGGACGUUUGAYCCUAUUUUGUUGGUUUCUAGGRUUGACGUAAUGAYUAAUAGGGAUAGUUGGGGGCAUUAGUAUUCAAUUGUCAGAGGUGAAAUUCUUGGAUUUAUUGAAGACUAACUACUGCGAAAGCAUUUGCCAAGGAUGUUUUCAUUAAUCAAGAACGAAAGUUAGGGGAUCGAAGACGAUCAGAUACCGUCGUAGUCUUAACCAUAAACUAUGCCGACUAGGGAUCGGAUGAUGUUAAUUUUUUAAUGACUCAUUCGGCGCCU
rnacentral:rRNA from 1 species